AAAGGUGGGAUAGGAGAUGUUUUUCUGGCACAUAUUUUACCAUAUCAUCUGAAAAACUCCUCAUGACGCCAUAGCACCCAUUGAAAUAGAGUGUUUGGAAAAAAAACGAAAUCUUUUGGUCCAGUGUAGAGGGCGUAGUCAGAAGAAAACGGCAACCAAUAGAUGUAAUACUCAUCAUCACUUCUAUUGGUUUCUGACACGUCCAUCAACCGCCAGCACUCACCCCUCCUCCCUGCGCGUUCACCGACUCGUGAACUUGACCGACCCCGCCCCCAUCAUUCAUGCACACGCGACAAGGCUCAUCAUCACUCGGCUAGUAGCAAGGUAACGAGAGUUAGCAGCAGGCUGAGCUACUUGGAAACUUUGGUGGCUUUUGCAGAGCUACAGGAAGAACUUUGGCUUUUGGAACAGUAGACUAACCAUGUCAGGAUAACAUACUCCCUUGGAUUAUCAUCGGACUCGCAAGACCAGACUCCAACACGGGCUGAAAAUUUGAAAUGGGACCUGACACUCUUGGACACAGAUGUCGGCUACGGCAGCGGCUUCAAAUACGCUUUGGUGACCAUAUUUCUAAUCGAGAGUUGUGCGAACGAGCCAGACAAACCAGCUGGGAGGAGGACGGAAGCACCCCUUCUCCAUCCGCGUUCAGUUGCUAAAUACGGAUCCACCCCGUAGUAAGUAACCUACCAUGUUUACGCACACAUUACUUUGACCAGCAAAGCCCAUGUCUUUCUAGUGGUUUACAAAAAUAUAUCGUUUGCAUGUUUUGCUUUGGUACGUCUCUGUUGUAUGACUCUGGUAAUAGUAGCAAGCACAAGCACAACCUCGCCGCUCCAGCAUUGCAAAAUAGAUUGCCUUGGGUUUUCAAAUGUUUACAUGAUUGUGGGUGUAAUGUUGUUAACUCGCUGAUGUCGUUUUUGAGAAGACGGUAGUUUUGCAUUUGAUAAAUACCACCUAAUGACCAUGACGGCUACACGGCAGAUCUUUAUUGUGAUGGCUACACUGAAUGAUCACAUGGAGAUGCCGGUACAUUAUUUGUUUUACCCUGGUUAUAUUGAAAUGUUCUGCUUUGUCCAUUCCAAGGUGUGGUGUUUUCCAUAGCUGCUCCUUGCUCCUGUUUCACAACAUAUCAAGGCUGCCAAGUAAAUGAAGAAUGAAUCACCGCACACUGGUCAACAGCCGACAGGGUCCUUCCACAACCACAUACUUAUGCCAGUAAAAGCCACAGCUUUUCUCCUCCAAUCCAAGAAGCCUGGACUGCAGUCACCAUCUCAACACACCAACCAAGAGAAAGGUGGAUGGCUCAAUUCAAUAUGGAAAAUUGCACAAUAAAAGUUCCAGGACAUGAAGGCUGCAUACUGUGAACGUCAACCUUCAGGGCACCGUCCUGCGCAGAAGACUUUCUACCCUAAGAGGGAUGGCUGACCGCAGACACUCACAACCAGCACAGACGCCUCCAACCUCAAACUAGGCCCUUCACAGUUGCUGCACUUACCCACCUUCCCAGAGUUUUUGUGUGGUAAUGACAACUGUAAAUAUAGUAUAAAGUAAUGUAUCUAGUGUCAUGUGUAAUACAUUGUUUAAAUUGUCCAUACAUUUCAAUGACAGUAAAUAUUGGUGGACACAAUUUGACUGUGUGGCUUUUUUUUAAUUCAUUCUCUGACUGAAAAUGCAUGGUUACAUAAUUUAUAUAUUCCACAAGACCACAAUCAGAAGAACAUUUGACAGGUUGCAUUUAUUUUCUAUGUAUGAAAAAAACAAUGGUAACAAGACAAACGUGGUUCCAAACCAAAAAGGUGAGAUGUACAGAUGAAUGCUCCUACAGAUAAUGAAAAAUAGUCUGCACACUGCCGGUUUGUGUGUUUUAUACCGUACUCUGUAUAAACCUUUUAUAUUGCUCUAGUGGAGCAGGGUAACCCUGGCUAAUCCUGGGUAUUGUACUGUGUAUUACAAGGUCAGCCCUGUUCAAGUGCCCCAUACUGUCUGUAGGCUGCAUGCCUGAAGAGACCGUUUCUCUCACCUGGUCCUACAUCAGCCCAAAGUCUUAUCAAAACUGAGAACACCACAGCAUUUCCUUUCAAUGUUCAUGGGCAUCUCCUUACAGAUUGCGCAGAGGCGCCAGGUUGGUUGUGCUACUGGGCUGUGACUGAGGACCAGAUGUCAUGUGCCAGGUCGAACAUCAAACUGGGGUCACGGGUCAGGGCACGCUGCAGUAACCGAUGGGAUUGCUUCAAAUUCAAUGAUUGAAUCAAGGCCUGCAAAGCAAUAAAUACAUUUUAUGUAGUGCAUUUUCUAUUUGAUGAUGGGGACUAAAUAACUCUAUUGACAAUAAGACCAAUAUGGACAUAAGCAAUCAUUAUUGUGUAUAUAAAUAAAGAUGUGCCAAUUAUAUGCAUACAACGUUUUCAGUCAAUUUCUUACAAACUGGUGUUGUGCCAGGGGUUACACAGAUGUAUGAAGUAGAUGGGCUUUUAUGGAUGUACUUGAACUACCACUGGUGUUGUGUACCUACAACCAUGUAAUAUCACACUACUACUCAUAGGAGUAGAAAUAUUGUAAUGGUUAUCACAACAGGUGUACUCGUGUAGCCUACUCGUGUUGCGAUAUAGAGUACAUCC